rnacentral:tRNA from 1 species
GAGGGUAUAGCUCAAGCGGUAGAGCACAUGCUUAACAUGCCCAAGGCCCUGGGUUCAAUCCCCAGUACCUCCU